rnacentral:rRNA from 1 species
GACCAAAUUACGUGCCAGCAGUCGCGGUAAUACGUAGAAGACUAGUGUUAUUCAUGUUUAAUCGGUUUAAAGGGUACCUAGACGGUAAAUCAAGCCUAAAAUUAAAUGAAGGGACUAAUUUACUAGAGUUACUUAUGAGGGGGUAUUAAAGUACUGCUGGUGUAGAGAUGAAAUUCUGUCAUACCUCUUUUCUAUAGAAAAAUAAUGGCACAGGUAUAGGCGAAAGCAUCCCCUUAUGUGAUAACUGACGUUGAGGGACGAAGGCUUUGUGUAGCGAACAGGAUUAGAUACCCCAGUAGUCAAAGCAGAAAAUGAUGAAUGUCAUAGAUUAGAUAAAUAAGUUUAUUCUAUAAAUGAAAAUGUAAGCAUUCCACCUCAAGAGUAAUUUGGCAACAUUGGAACUGAAAUCAUUAGACCGUUUCUGAAACCAGUAGUGAAGUAUGUUGUUUAAUUUGAUGAUCCGCAAAAAACCUUACCACAAUUUGAAUAUUUAUAUCUUUUAUUGUUUUUUUUUAUUUUCUUCUGAUUUUAAAAAGAGGCGAUAUGAUAUAUUU